CUGAGAGACAAGCCGAGCAUUUCCCUGACAGAAUCGUUGCUAUUUUUGCUGUUAAGCCAGGCAACCCGUGGCUGAGGGAGGACAACCCGUGCCGGCCGCGGGCCAGACUCCGGGGCCCGGCGCCCACCGCCCGCUGCCCGAUUUCAGCUGCCCGCUCCUUCCGAGACACCUCCCAGACAGCCAGCCAGGGCCCCCAGACCGUGCCACGCAGUGAUACAAGACGGAGAUCGAAGCCCUCUGGACAAGGAGCCCUCACCAACCCCCGCCGCAGACGUUUCAGUUCUUCAGUUCUUCAAUACCUAUCUCAACACCGCCCUGCAGGCUCACAGUAGAGCCCUGGCUCCACCAGAGAGUACUCCAGCUCUCUGCACGAAACGGAAGCAAUAACGUAAGAAAAACGCACACGACAAGGAAGAUACGCGCAAGCGGCAGAGUAAACCACCGCCACGACUCGACUCGCGCAUGCGCAGCGGAAUUGUUUUCCACUAAACUGUUCUUAAAGUGAGCUGGCAGCAUGCGGGCAGCUGUUUUUGUAAGAAGAUCGCAGUGUUAGGCGACUGCUGCCGUCGCUGGGGUUUUCUCAGUAAUUCCGAUGAAGUAUUUGUAGAGGACACGCUGAUCUUGUUGGUAGGCUCUUUGCGUGGCAGAGACGUUGUUCAGUGUGCAGUGAAGAUCGCAUUUUGUAUGAGACCUUGGGGUUUUGGUUGUUGUUUGGUUGGUUUGUUUGUGGUUUUUUUUGGUUUUUUUUUUGUUUUUUUUUUUUUUUUUUCCUUUACAGUAUAUUUUUGUACACUUUGCUAUAAAAUAUGGUGCUGGGGAAGGUGAAGAGCUUAACAAUAAGCUUUGACUGUCUCAAUGGUAGCAAUAUCCUCGUCUAUUCUAGCGGGGACACAGUCUCAGGAAGGGUCAGUUUAGAAGUUACUGGGGAAACUAGAGUGAAAUCUCUUAAAAUUCAUGCAAGAGGAUAUGCAAAAGUACGUUGGACUGAAUCUAGAAAUGCUGGAUCCAACACUGCCUAUACACAAAAUUACACUGAAGAAGUAGAGUAUUUUAACCAUAAGGAUGUUCUACUCGGGCACGAAAGAGAAGGAACUGGCUGGAAUCCAAGCUACCAAAACGACUGGAACCAGACUGGUGCCUCCUUUUUGCUGUGGAAUAGCAUAUUGAGUUUUUCCCUCCUAGAUGAUGACAAUUCUGAAGCAGGCCUUCACACCAUUCAUUCAGGAAGGCAUGAAUAUGCAUUCAGCUUUGAGCUUCCACAGAUACCACUUGCUACCUCCUUUGAAGGCAGACAUGGCGGUGUGCGCUAUUGGGUGAAAGCUGAAUUGCAUAGGCCUUGGCUUCUACCAGUAAAAUUAAAGAAGGAAUUUACAGUCUUUGAACAUAUAGAUAUCAACACUCCCUCAUUACUGUCACCCCAAGCAGGCACAAAAGAAAAGACUCUGUGUUGUUGGCUUUGUACCUCAGGCCCAAUAUCCUUAAGUGCCAAAAUUGAAAGAAAGGGCUAUACCCCAGGUGAAUCAAUUCAGAUCUUUGCAGAGAUUGAGAACUGCUCUUCCCGUAUGGUGGUGCCAAAAGCAACCAUUUACCAAACACAGGCAUUCUAUGCCAAAGGGAAAAUGAAGCAAGUCAAACAGGUUGUUGCCAACCUCUGUGGGGAAUCCUUGUCAGCUGGCAAAACAGAAACCUGGAAUGGCAAACAGUUGAAAAUUCCACCUGUUUCCCCUUCAAUCCUUGACUGUAGUAUAAUCCGCGUGGAGUAUUCACUGACGGUAUAUGUUGAUAUUCCAGGAGCUAUGGAUUUAUUCCUUAACUUACCACUGGUUGUUGGUACCAUUCCUCUACAUCCAUUUGGUAGCAGAACAUCAAGUGUGAGCAGCCAGCGUAGCAUGAACGUGAAUUGGCUUGGUCUGACACUGCCUGAAAGACCAGAAGACUGGAAGCACUGGGGCGUGGACUAUCCAGGCUGCGUGGGCACCACACAGCAGCCUAUCAACAUCGACACAGCCAGGACCAUGUUCAGCCCCCAGCUAUGGCUGAUCCAGCUCUCUGGCUUCAGCCUGCCUGCCAAUGAGCUCAAGCUGAGGAACAGUGGGCACACAGUUGUCCUUGAGCUGCCUGAGUCACUGGCCAUCACCAGUGGCUACACCCAGCAGUACCAAGCCAUGCAGCUGUACCUGCACUGGGGCUCCCUGUCAGGACCCAGCUUGGAACACACCAUCAACAGGUGCCACUUUGCUGUAGAGAUCCAUGUGGUCCACUGCAACACCAAGCAUGAGAGCUUUAAGGAGGCAAUGGUCUACCCGGAUGGCCUGGCUAUACUGAGAGCCUUCCUGGAGGCAAGUCCCAUAGCUCAGCCCUGGGUGAGAAGGGGUAGGAGCAGUGCUGGGGGAGAGUGGGACUAGGAGGGCAGAGUUAGGCACAGUUUUGGGGACAGGCAAAGGUGCAAAUGUACCUGGAGAAAGAGAGGGCAAGGCAGCCCUGAUGGGAGGAAGGGGUCACUUAGGACAGGGUACCCCUCUCAGGGAAUAAUUCUUCCCUGGUGGUACCGCCAUCACCACCCAGUCUUUGUUCAGCCCCAGUGCUUGUCAUUUCUGUGGCGUCUCUGUGUUGCAGGUUAGGCCAAGGAAGAACCCAUACUGUCAGAAAAUACUUGAGCAACUGUACAAAAUCCAAAGAGAACAUAAGGCCCUGUCCCACCUAGUACUUGUCCGAGAAGCUGCAGCCCAGCAGAGAAACCCACUGCAUGGCAGAGAGGCUGCAGCAGGCAUUUGCCAUGUGUAUGUGAGAAGGGGAGCAUUGCACAGCUUGUACAGAAACAGCUUUCCAAUGUGCCCUAUGCUCUCACAUGCUUUCCCCUGCCUCCACGGCAAACCUACUGACCUUUCUCCAGCACACUAGGUGCAGCAGGGAGGACCCUGGCAUAUGUGGUGCCAGGCUGGGCUGGAGGGAUGCUCCAGAUUAGGUCUGUUCCCAUGAUCUCCAUGCUGGUCCUGCUUGUUGUCCUCCAAGGGGUUGUCCCACUCUUGCUCUCACGGUGUUUCUUCUCCCAGGAAAGGAAGUCUUGGUGCCUGGAUUCAACAUCACAGGCCUGCUGCCUGCCAACCUGAAACUCUACUACCACUACAGUGGCUCUCCGAUCACCCCUUCCUGCUACCAGUGGAUGGUCUUCAACCAGGGCAUACUGCUCUCUCAUGAACAGGUCCAUCAGGGCAAGGAGCUCCAUGCUCAGUCUUUCCCAGCCUCUCUCUGCAAACAUACACCAUCUGCAUCUGUCCCCUGAGGCUCGUCUGGCUUCCAAAGGCAGGACACACCCUGCUCUGUUCAUGCUGCUCUCUUUCUAGAUGUCAGUGCUGGUGACAAGCCUGAGGAACGAUGACAGCAAACCUCUGCAGAACAACUUACAGCUGGUGCUGGACCUGCAUGGACAACAGAUGCCAGCAAGUUUCCAAACCACCCUCCUUUUGGUGAAGUAGCUGCCUUCUGGACACUCCAGGUCUUCAUUUCAGGCAGCAGGUCCAGCAAAGCCAAAUUCAAAGCCAAGUCCUGUUGCCUCUAAGAAGGCAGUGACGACCUGGUUCAGGAACAGCACGGUGACCACCCCCAGGUCGCUCGGUCCAUCAGCUCACAGACACCAAUGUGGUAGACGGCAAAUGGCGCUUAUUGGCAGGUAACACAGCAUUAUAUACCUUGAGUUUACAACGUCACUUCCAUCUGCUUACCUCACACACUUCUACCGAUCUAGGGAGGGGCUACUACCUUUCCGUACAGCGCAAGAUCUUCCGGCCGCCAGACCCUAACUACCUACAUUUCCCCCCUCCCUAAGCACAACUAAAUUAGCUAAAAUAUAAAAGUCUUAAAAAAAUUGUGCUUCUACCUUAGUGCAAUACUUUGUGAAUAAAGUGAACAAUAAGGCACUAUAAAUUGGUGAAAACUAGGGGGUGACGGUGUGCGAUACUUUGUAAAUAAUCUUUAGAGUUAGACUUCAUAACGUGAACAAUAAGGCACUAUAAACUGGUAAAAACUAGGGAGUGACAGUUAGUAAUGGAGUGUAGCUAGGGAUAACUAGUGAUAACACUGGGUAAAUACCCUUUUAAAGUAGUUGCUGGUGUUCAGUCAUCAUGAUGUUAACUUGCUCUAGCAGGCUUUUAACAAACGACACAAGCUUAUUUAGUAUUCAGGGUCCGAAGAUCAGUGUUAAUAUGACCAUAAUGAUCGGCUCUGCCAAGGUAGAUAUCAGGGCGGUUAACCAUGGUGAAUGGCUAAACCAUGACUCAAACCAUCCCUGUAGGGCUUCUCUAUCUCUUUUCCUUUUUUCUAGACCCUCCCUAAGUUUGGCCAUUGUGUCUCUGACAAUCCCUGUGUUGUCUGCAUAUACACAACAUUCCUCCCCUAACGCUGCACAAAGUCCACCUCGUAAAAACAAGAGAUCCAGUCCUCUAUGAUUUUGUAAAACAACUUCGGACAAUGAUCUCAAUGACUUUUUCAACGCAGUGAUCGAUUGUUCAGUUUGAACCAAAUCUUCAUCUACUGCUGCUCUGAGGGAAUGAAACUUUUGAUUUUGUUUCACUAGCGAUGCUAUCCCUGUUCCUGCCCCCGUGGCUCCAAUGGCAAGAAGGGUAGCUAUGGUCAGAACGGUAAUGGGUUCUUGCUUUUGUAUGUGACCAAAAGUUGAAGGGGAUUGAUGAUUAUAUAUGUAUUCUUCAAGAUGGUACAUGAUUCUCGGAAUAAUCAUUACUUGUAUGCAAAAUUCACUGUUUUGAUCAAACACACUAAGAGACACACAUGGCAUAACUCCAGUUUCUGAACAUAUCCAUUUGGUACUUUUGGCAGGAACUAACCAUUUGACUUUCGGUUCAUUUUCUAGUGUGAACUCAUUUGCACAUAACGCUUUUUUCUCAGGGGGUACUGUACCGACACAUGUGCCUUGCCCUGAUACAUAUUGCAUUGUUAUUCCCGGGUUGUUCGUGGAGUUCCACAGACACUGUGGUGGAUUAGGCCUGCCUACCAGUUCUAGUUUGGAGGGUAUACCUACUGCUUCAUAAAAGGGGGGCCUUACGUUGUAGCAAAGCCAGCAGUUUACUGUCAUAUUUCGAUUGGUAGAAUUCAAGAGCUGGUAUGUUGAGUUCAGCAAAUUCCAUAGGGGGGGGCAUUUCAAGUUUCAAAGUACUAAAUGUCUUGGUACUGUCUACUAAGGGCUUGGGUGCUUGCGGGCUGAGAACCGGGUUAGGCCCAAGUGCCUGGGGUGUUUGUAGCUUGACCUUGAUGAUUUGUAUUAGUGUUCCUGAAUCUUUAAAAGUGGUGCGAAGAAAUACUGACCACAUUUUCCCCACAACCCAACCCGCAUUGGUUGGGUUUCGGAUCUCUAAGUUUAGAUUGGCGCAAUUACCUCUUUGAUUCAGCAUUGCAUUGUACGCAAAUAUUGGAGGGGAACACCCUUUUGGUCCCCAUCUUACAUGCAGAAAUUCGUCCUCUUUUUCUGGUCUCCAUCUAUUGCUUGUUACAAUGGUCUCACACCCCCAAUAUCUGCAAAACAUAUAUCCCGGAUAGUUGCAAUAACCUUUUCCUGGGUUUGAACUAGGGCAUCAAUAUGUUCCCCAUAACGAUUUAGAUGUGGGAAACAAGUCACCAAAUGUAAUUGUGAAAGUUGGAGCACCUGCUGUUGUGUUUUCCCUUAUCACUCGAUCAUUUGAAGCGUCCCGUAGGAGUCACUUGAAUGGCUGAUGGUGACUGUAAUCUGGUUCUGCUUUACCUGUAGCAACAAACCCCAGAAUCAAGAUCACACAUAAGUGUUGCAGCUUCCCUCCACGGAGGCCGCUUCGCUGUUGUCUGGAUUCUAUCAGUGCGGAACUCUCAGGCUCAGACAGGAUGCUUGCCGACUUGUUGACUUCUCUUGUCACCGGGGUACACGGAUUACGAGGGCGCCCAAUGAUCCGGUCCUGAAAACAGAAACUCAGAGUUUUCAUUAGUUUUAGUCUGAAGAUCCAGUUUAAUGGACUUAAGCGGACACCAUCUGACUCUGCCAUCUUUUUUGACCGCAGCAUACCCUCACCCUGUCAGAACUAAUUUCCACCCCGGUUCCCAUUCUCCUAGCUCAUUUCUGACAACAACUGAUGGGCCUUCUUCUAGUGCUCAAGUGGUCCAAUGUUUUUGGGCAGGGCUAUUCACCUCCUCCCCCCUGGGGAAUUGAUUUAGUGCUAGCAAAGCAGUUGCUAGCAAGCGUGCCUGGUCUCCUGAGGGAACGGUGGUGUUAAAACCUUCUGUGUUUGCUAAUACUUCUAACUUAGAUUUCAGAGUUUGAUUUGCUCGUUCGACUAUAGCCUGUCCUGUACUAUUAUACGGGAUGCCGUGCGUUAGAGUAAUACCCCAUUUCUGAACGAAUGCCUGGACUGAUUUGGACACGAAAUGCGAACCACUGUCUGUUUUGAUCUGAUUAGGGACGCCAAGCCACGCCAUGGCUGUCAGCCAAUGUUGGAUGGUUGCUUUGGAGUCGGCCUUAAGAUGCUGUGUAGCUACGAUCACCCCGCUAUAUGUGUCCACGGUUACUGCUAGCCACGCUCGAGGUCUCAGCAACUGACAGAGUGUAAAGUCCGACUGCCACACCUCGGAGGCUUUGAGACCUCUGGGGUUGACUCCACUGGACCACAGUGGUGCUUUUUGACAGUGGGGACACGUAGCUACUAUGUGUUUUGCGUCGGCGGUCGAAAUCCCAUAUCUCUUUGCUAAGGCCUUAGUUCCAAUGUGGAGGGACUCGUGUAGCUGAUGGGCAUCUCUUAGUGUCCAUAACCCUUUUGCAGCGGCGUCUGCUUUAUCAUUACCGAUUUGGUAAAACCCUUUGAUUGGGUCGUGGCAGUUGACGUGGAUGACCGAUAUGGUUCCUUUUCGGGAGGAAAGUGCUUCUUCUAGCAUUAGAGCAGCUGUGGAUGUUGACACACCAGGCCCCGACAUGGCCAAGCAAAGUUUGGCUACGAACAUCGAAUCGGUCACUAUGUUGAGGUGUUCCAUGGGGAACAGUCCACACGCUAGUACCACGGCCGUCACUUCUAAUAGCUGGACUGAAAGCGCACUAUCGGUCAUUUUAAUGCAGUGCCAUUCUUCUCCCGAUUGCCAUACCACUGCUGCGGUUGAGGUCACUGAAGAAGCAUCUGUGAAGACUGUUGGUCCCUGCUGGGGUCGGUCCAUGAUCUUCUGUGGAAGGUUGAUGUUGACAAUUUUCAGCAUUUGAGCCCAAGGGGGCUUGAUAGCGUGAUGGACUUCUCCGCGAAAUCCGGCAAGGGCCACGGCCAGAGAUUCCGACAUCGCCAUUGAUUGCGUUAGCAGCUGUUUGCGCAAGGGUAAAUAUAUCCUAACGGGUUCAAUACCUAGGUGCCUUAGGGCGAGUUUUCGGCCUUUCAUGAUGAGAUUGCCAAGGCACUUGACUCCUGGAGAGAAUGCACGUGACGGUUUUCCCAGGACUAUCCACUGUAUUGGUCGAGCUUUUUCAUGGGGGCCCUGGGCUAGUGCCCCUACUCCCCCUCCUUCUGUGAAGGAUACAUACAGAUCAAGUGGUUUGUGUGGGUUCCACCUGGCAAGCGUGCUUGAUGAUAUUUGUUGCUCAAUAAAAUCGAGAGAGUCCAUUGCUUCUGUUGUCAGGGUCUUCUGCUCCCACGGGUUUUUUCCUUUUAAAAGAUCGUGCAGGGGAGCCAUGGUCUCGGGAGGAAUCAGGACGAUGUUGCGGAGCCAUUGUAGGGAUCCCACUAAUUGUUGCGCAUCAUGAAGCGUCUUGAUGUCCCGACGGAUUUUUAUCUGAGGAGGGGUUAUGUAAGAACUCGUGAUCCCCACUCCCAAAAAACUUACACAUGGUCCCUUUUUAAUUUUUGCACUCGCGAUUUUGAACCCGUUUGUUUUUAGGGUUUCCGAGACUGUUGACACCAGCUGGUCCACUUGACUCCCUGACGGUGCGGCGAUCAGGAUGUCGUCCAUGUAUUGAAUGAUUGUCACGGUCGGGUCACUGCACCGAACUGGUGCCAGCGCCCGAUCCACCAUGAUCUGGCAGAUGGUAGGCGAGUUGAUCAUUCCUUGAGGCAGCACUUUCCACUGGAAGCGUAGGUUAGGACGUUGGCUGUUUGGAAACACGAUAGAAAAAGCAAACCACUCCUUGUCUUCUUCAUGUAAAGGUAUUGAGAAAAAACAGUCUUUAAUAUCAAGGAUGGCACAAGGUUGCCCCUCUGGUAUCAUAGAGUUCAUGGGCAACAACGUUUGAACAGGACCCAUUGGUUGAAUUGUCUUUUUUAUUUCACGCAGAACAUGGAGGAGACUAAACCCUUCGCCGGUUCGCUUGGGUAUUACAAAAACAGGAGUGUUCCAAGGGCUGGUAGAAGGCUCUAUGUGACCCCGUUGCAGUUUGCGGUCGACUAACUCGAGAAGAGCAUCCAUUCGAGGCUUUGACAGGGGCCACUGCUCGACCCACACUGGAUCGGACGAUUUCCAUGUCAAUUUGAUCGGUGGAAGUGGGUAUGCGGCAGUGGCCCUCACGAUAAAUUUGUCACCCUGGUUUUCAAUAGGGCUAAAGCGUCCCUUCCCAACAGGGGUGGGACUCCUGGCAAGACAUACGGGAAGAGAGUAAUGUUUUUUUCCGGUCCCUUUUCUGUGUGAAGUGUGAUUGCAACCAAUUGAACACUCUUCCGAGCUCGGGUUAGUCCCCCGACUCCACCCACCAUGGAAGCAUCUUCCAGUUCCCAACAUGGAGGCCAGUUCGUCUCAGGGAUAACUGUAACGUCUGCUCCGGUAUCAAUCAAGAAGGGGACACUAAUGGUGGUGCUAUUUGAGGUAUUAUAAAGGGAGCAGACCCCCCACACCACUGGCGGGCUAUCACACGUUAUGGCCAGAGCCACCCUGGGGUCUCGCCCCCAGGGGGUGGUGCUUGCUGUCCCUGAGAUGAAGGCGGGUUUGGCUGGUCAGCUGGUUGUGCUGUAAGGUUGGUCACCUCUUGAGGGGGCAGUGGGUUCAGGGGAACUGGUUUUUGAGGCACCGGGUUUGGAAGCACCAAGUUCGGGAGCACCGCGCUCCAUGUGGGGUUGGCAUAAUUGGGCCGCCUCAUAUCCCAAGUGGGAGAGGGCUGUGCACGGCCCAAUUGCCCUCUCCCCCACCCGUUUCCCUGAGUCUUAGAUCUGCAUUCCUUGGCGAAGUGCCCCCUCUUUCCGCAGGCCCAGCACGGUCCUUUGGGUCGGUUUUGGUGUGGGGGGAGCACUGUUGACGGAUCCCCCAACUGAGGGCAAUGUGCUGUGACGUGGCCUGCCUGGCCACAUUUAAAACAUACCAUCAUGUUAGUUAUUGCGGUGCAAACAGCUGCCUGGAUCAGGGCUAGGUGCUCUUCUUUCGCAACAUGUUUAAUCAUGUCCGCGAUGCUGGACUCCGCUGGCAGUGAUCGCAAAAUAUCUUUGGUCGUCGAAUUGCACUGCUGGCGUAGGCAUUCUGCUGUGACUGGGCCUUUUGCCUCUGCAGGCAGUGUCGAGGAGUCGAUCACUGACUGGAGGCGAUCUACAAAUUGCGUGAAGCUCUCACUUUCACUUUGUUUUAUUGUCGACCAUGGCGAUGGUUUGGCAAUAAUUCUACAGGCUGUGCGAAUAGCCUCUCUAGCUGCACGUGUUGCCGUAACUUCUUGGGCCCGCAUGCCCUGGGCCUUUAACUGGGGGGUGAUCAUUGUUGGAUCUGAGCCCAUUAGCCGCUGCAGGUUAGAACCAUGUAGCGGGUGAUCCGCCCCAGUUACUUGGGCCAGUUGUUUCGUACAGUUGUCCUCCCAUUCUUGUUGAAAAACGAUCAUCCCUGCCCCAUCAAAGAUCAGCCUACAGGCUUGUUUAAUAUCAUACGGGAGCAUGUCAUCUCCCCCGAAAACACCGUCUAUGAGGGUGAAGACCAUGGCAGAAUUAAGCCCUUUAUCCGCAAUGGCUUUAACAAUCGCUUGUAUAUCCUUAGGGUUUAUUGGUGUGUGAACCCUUUGUCCCCCGUCCGUCACCCGGACCAGGAACGCCAGCGCGGCCGAUGGGGCCCAGUUGGCGCACGCUAUCUUAAUCUUCCUCCAAUCCGUAAGAGGAAUUUUUUCCCCUCGCAGUUCCGCUUUAUUUCGGAAGGGGAUAUUUUUGCUUUUAAUUCUGUUUGUCCCCAUUUCCUCCUCCGAAUAUGAAUCGGUAUCUGAAUCGGAGUCGGAACUCGACUGACCAGUCACUUCCGUUUCUGAUCCGGAACUUGACUGACCGGUUACUUCCGAGUUCCGGCCCCGCCCACUACCCUUGCGGGCGGGCCGCUCUCUGCUCCGGCCCCGCCCACUACCCUCCCUCUUGGCUCGCCCCGCCUUCUGCUCGGGGAGGUGUCCACCCCCCAAUGGCACCGCUCCAGAUGAACACCUUGAUCGGCUCUCCGCCCCUUGUCCACGCCUCCACCGCCCCCAAAGCUCCGCCCUCUAUUGUUCUCUUCCACUCGCUCGCGCGCGCCAGCCAGGUCCAACACUACCUCCACAUUCCCACCAAGGACAUCUUCGUCCCGCCCCUCGCCCCCGCGCUGGGGGCCAUCUUGGGGCGCAUAUGGCGGGGGUCUCCCGACUCCCUCAGACCCUGGUUUCUCAUCGGCGCGCCUGGCUUCCUCGGCUAACCCGCCCCCAAAAGAUUUAGCUCGCUCCUGCGCCUCCGUGAGCGGGUCGAAGUUCGGGGAUUGGGGGGGUUUUCGCCCUCUCGCUGAUCUUUGGGCUCAGCAGGAUCGUCACUAUCUGGGGGGUGCAGGGUCUGCGUAGCCGCCUCGGGGGGGUCGCCCUCUCGCAGACCUUUAGGCUCAGCAGGAUCGUUUCUAUCUGGGGGGUACAGGGUCUGCGUAGCCGCCCCGACCCCUAGUUGUGGGGUGGCCAACAAACAAGCCUGUGCUGCCUUCCAGGUUUCCUGCGCUUGCAUGGCCUUCUGCAGAGCCUGUACAACUUUCCCCCACGACUUAAGGUUUUUCCCACAACCUGAGGACAUCGUCUCCUCGGCAAGCGCUUUAGUGCACUUGUCCCACACCUCAGGGUGGAGAAUAUCCACCGGCUGGUCAAUGACCCCAAUUUGUAAAAGCCUUGCAACUGCGAGAGUAAAAUAUUUAGGCUUACAAUCAAUACCCAAUUGCUUAUGUAACUGAGAUACGACCUUCACGAGGGCUUCCAUCCUCCUUGUAAUAAGUGAUGGUCAAAAUUUUUAAUGUUGAACAAAUCGAGUAGGAUUCAAUUGUAUUAUGCAUAUUAUUGUAAGCAGUAACUGUGCUUGUGCGAGUUUGAUUAUGUUUUGUAGAACCUUGUAGUAGUAGUUAAAGACAAUGCCAUAAAUAACAGGACUACCAGGUGGUGCCAUAAAUAACAGGACUACCGGAUGGUGUCAUAGAUAACAGGACUCCCGGAUGGUGCCACAGAUAAUAGGACUCCCAGAUGGUGUUACAGAUAACAAAGCGCUCGGAUGUUGCAACAGAUAACAAAAGUUCCAGAGGCGGAAAUUCCCAGCACGUAAACGAACGCAUAACGUAUAUAAGCACAUACGAAAGGUUGAUUUGGUGUGCCUGUUGGUGGAACUGAGCUUCCCCCGGUCACCCAGCGCUGUUUUGCCUAAUUACCGCUUGCUAAAUAAAAUCGAUUGAUUGACGCAGAA